UACGUAGGGGGCAAGCGUUGUCCGGAUUUAUUGGGCGUAAAGCGCUCGCAGGUGGUUCGUCACGUCGUGCGUGAAAGACCCCGGCUCAACUGGGGGAGGUCGUGCGAUACGGGCGAACUGGAGGCCAGUAGGGGGAUGCGGAAUUCCGGGUGUAGUGGUGGAAUGCGUAGAGAUCCGGAGGAACACCAGCGGCGAAGGCGGCAUCCUGGACUGGUCCUGACACUCAUGAGCGAAAGCGUGGGGAGCGAUCCGG
rnacentral:rRNA from 1 species